rnacentral:rRNA from 1 species
UACGUAGGUGGCAAGCGUUGUUCGGAAUUAUUGGGCGUAAAGGGCGCGUAGGCGGUUUGUUAAGUCGGUCGUGAAAGCCCGGGGCUCAACCCCGGAGGGUCGACCGAUACUGGCAGACUAGAGUACAGAAGAGGUAACUGGAAUUCCCGGAGUAGGGGUGAAAUCCGUUGAUAUCGUCGGGAACACCAAAAGCGAAGGCAGUUUGCUGGGACGACCCUGACACUGAGAGACGAAAGCGUGGGGAGCAAAAAGG